rnacentral:rRNA from 1 species
AAAGGAGCGAUCCGGUGACGGAUGGGCAUGCGUGACAUUAGCUAGUCGGCGGGGUAACGGCCCACCGAGGCGACGAUGUCUAGGGGUUCUGAGAGGAAGGUCCCCCACACUGGUACUGAGACACGGACCAGACUCCUACGGGAGGCAGCAGUGAGGAAUAUUGGUCAAUGGGCUUACGCCUGAACCAGCCAAGUCGCGUGAGGGAAGACUGCCCUAUGGGUUGUAAACCUCUUUUGUCAGGGAGCAACGCCGGCUACGUGUAGCCGGACUGAGAGUACCUGAAGAAAAAGCAUCGGCUAACUCCGUGCCAGCAGCCGCGGUAAUACGGAGGAUGCGAGCGUUAUCCGGAUUUAUUGGGUUUAAAGGGUGCGUAGGCGGAAUGCCAAGUCAGCGGUAAAAUCGCGGGGCUCAACCUCGCUCCGCCGUUGAAACUGGCGUUCUUGAGUGGGCGAGAAGUAUGCGGAAUGCGUGGUGUAGCGGUGAAAUGCAUAGAUAUCACGCAGAACUCCGAUUGCGAAGGCAGCAUACCGGCGCCCAACUGACGCUGAAGCACGAAAGCGUGGGUAUCGAACAGGAUUAGAUACCCUGGUAGUCCACGCAGUAAACGAUGAAUACUAGCUGUUCGGGGCAAAUGAGCCUUGAGUGGC